UACGUAGGGUGCAAGCGUUUAAUCGGAAUUACUGGGCGUAAAGCGUGCGCAGGCGGUUGUGCAAGACCGAUGUGAAAUCCCCGGGCUCAACCUGGGAAUGGCGAUGGAGACUGCAAGGCUAGAGUUUGGCAGAGGGGGGGUAGAAUUCCACGUGUAGCAGUGAAAUGCGUAGAUAUCGAGAGGAACACCUGCGGCGAAGGCGGGUUGCUGGGCUGAUACUGACGCUGAGGCGCGAAAGCCAGGGGAGCGAACGGG
rnacentral:rRNA from 1 species